GGGGAAUAUUGGACAAUGGGCGCAAGCCUGAUCCAGCAAUGCCGCGUGGGUGAAGAAGGCCUUCGGGUUGUAAAGCCCUUUUGUACGGGAAGAAAUCAUCCGGGUUAAUACCCUGGGUGGAUGACGGUACCGUAAGAAUAAGCACCGGCUAACUUCGUGCCAGCAGCCGCGGUAAUACGAAGGGUGCAAGCGUUAAUCGGAAUUACUGGGCGUAAAGCGUGCGUAGGUGGUUGUUAAGUCUGUCGUGAAAGCCCUGGGCUCAACCUGGGAAUGGCGACGGAUACUGGGCAGCUAGAGUGCGGUAGAGGAUGGCGGAAUUCCCGGUGUAGCGGUGAAAUGCGUAGAGAUCGGGAGGAACAUCUGUGGCGAAGGCGGCCAUCUGGACCAGCACUGACACUGAGGCACGAAAGCGUGGGGAGCAAAC
rnacentral:rRNA from 1 species